GACGAACGCUGGCGGCGUGCUUAACACAUGCAAGUCGAACGGUAAGGCCCUUCGGGGUACACGAGUGGCGAACGGGUGAGUAACACGUGGGUGAUCUGCCCUGCACUUCGGGAUAAGCCUGGGAAACUGGGUCUAAUACCGGAUAGGACUCCGGACUGCAUGGUCUGGGGUGGAAAGCUUUUGCGGGGUGGGAUGGGCCCGCGGCCUAUUAGCUUGUUGGUGGGGUGAUGGCCUACCAAGGCGACGACGGGUAGCCGGCCUGAGAGGAUGACCGGCCACACUGGGAAUGAGAGACGGCCCAGACUCCUACGGGAGGCAGCAGUGGGGAAUAUUGCGCAAUGGGCGCAAGCCUGAUGCAGCGACGCCGCGUGAGGGAUGACGGCCUUCGGGUUGUAAACCUCUUUCAGCAUCGACGAAGCGAAAGUGACGGUAGGUGUAGAAGAAGGACCGGCCAACUACGUGCCUGCCGCCGCGGUAA
rnacentral:rRNA from 1 species